AGCGCCCCCUGCGCGCCCCGCUCCCCGCCGCGCCCCCCCGCCGUGCAGACUCACCGCUCCGUGCGGGCCGCGGCCGCUGCCUGCCGGCUCGGCGGGGCGCGGGCCCGGGCGCGGGAGGUGGCGAGGCGCUGCCCGCAGCGAGGGGGGGCGCGGGGCUCACUGCCGGCCCGCCGGGCCCAGCGGGGGCCCUUCAGCCUCUGCAGGGGGAAGCCAAACGCCUGUUAGAGCUGCCGCGCUCCCACAGCCAUGAGUCGCGACACGGUAUUAACUGGCUUAUGCUCCGUUAGACUUUCUGUCACCGCUAACGGGCUUACAUUUUUUUAUCAAACAAAACAGGAAGGAAUACCCCCCCACCCCCACCGCACCCUCAGUAUAUUUGCAAAGUAAAGUUUUACGUCAGACUUAAGCAUGACAACCUUUUUGCACCCCUUCCCUGUUCUAAGAGACCUGAUUUUCUCCCCCUUGCUCUAUUCUGAGCUUGAUAGCCUUAUACAUCAGAGGCAAUACUGGCUGAACCUGUCUGGGAGGAACAUACACACCUUUCCCAUGAUCUGGAAAAACAGCCCUGCUGUCAUUGCUGCAUCCAAGAGGGAUGAGGGGGAAAUAGCCAGCGCCAGCUUCUUGUAAGUGCACACAUGGGGAAGGUAGGUUAUGCAGAACCCAAAAGAAAACUUUUUAGGAUGAAACAAAACAAGAAAGAAGAGAAAAGACAAGCCAACCCCCCCAACCCAACAGUGGAGGAGGCCAUGGGAGACUGUGGAAGCUCAGACCCAGGGUAGGCAGGCAGGUAUCUGAGCGGUUGCUCUGUAGAAGGAUGAGCCAGGCUGUCCGGGCGUGUGGACCCCAGCAUCGGGAAGAUGGUGACAGCCAUGACAGGGAAGAUUAUCGUCCUCUGUCCGGCAUCCUGUAGUUCUAGUCUUGGGAUCACCAGGUAAGAGUUGCAAUCUCAAGCCAUUGCAAACUAUCACCCAAGAUAGGAUCUUGGGAUUUUCAACAAAAGUCUUUCAGCUUGUAGUACUGCCAACCCAUUAAUUUCUCAGAAACCUUGAGUGUUCCUUAUCACCAUUUUGGAAAUGUUAACAAGCUGUUUUAUGUCUUCUCAUUGCUGGCUUUUACUUUUAUAAACUAUUCCCUGUAACAAACUUUCAUGACAGACUGUUGCCUUGAUAAUAACACAGUCUCUUGACAACAGCACUCUCAACUCUUUUCAGUUUUCAAGGUAAAUCACGUAUUGCACACAUUUUCAAAGGAAUGUUAACCUCAGUGCUGAAGCGGUUCACAUUCCAGUUUUUCAUAGUCUACAUGUCAGGUUUCUCUUCAAAACCUUCUUUAAGUAAGCACGGAAAUUUUAUAGGAGCAAAAAAUUAAGAUAACUACAGGAAUUCAUCUUGAACACUUAUCUUUAUCUGGAUUGGUUUUUGUGCUUGAAGUUUAAUUGAAUAAGCAGAUCCCUGAAUGUUACGGACCAAGGGAAUGCUAUGUGUGUUCCUCUCUUGUGAACCAAGCAGGGUGUGAGGAAGGGUGUCUUUAAGAGAUGCACGUCUUCCACUCAUUUUUCCUUCAAUAUAUUUGCUACCUAAGUACAGUGAAAAAUAUCCCACUGAUUGUCUUGUAGCUUGUCAGUGUGUGCGAGUUACCUUUAGAGGGCACCGUUUUGUUGGGCAUCUGUUGGCACUGAAGUUUUCCAGGAAUCCCAGAGCUUCCUUAGCAACCGUGACGGAUCAAAGCUUCCGCACCUACGGUCAGAGGAAAAAAAAUAAAUCAUCCUAGAACAACAGAAUUUGCAUUUAUUCACUCGACAGAACUGGUGUUGAAUGAAGUCUGCUUAUGAGAGGAAAUCUGUUACUCUGGAAUGUUCCGUGUUUACCAAGCUGUGCUGCCAAAGCUGAAAACUUCAGUUCAGGACCAAAGCACUCUGUCAGCUUGAGGGCCCUUUCAGAGUAAUUCUUUAAGCUCCACAGUAUAAUGGAUAAACCAAAAUGACAGACGUGAGGCCACGGGAGCAUUCACUGUGCCUUUCCUGGAGCAACUGAGCGGUUCGACUCUUACGUAAGACUGCAGCAUGCUGCCAGUCCCUUGUAUUGGCAGCGUCUGAAGUGAGCACUUCAUGUGACCCUUAGCCAUCCCGCACAGACCGAUAUUAAUGUGAGACAUAAAAUGUACACAUUACGUAACCAUUUCUCCUGACAGCCACCCAAGCCAAGUAUUUCCUACUGACUGCUGCAGCAACAGACAUUUAAUUUUAACUUGCCACUAAAAUAAAACACUCUGUGGGUAGAAGGAAGCGUAUGGGUGGGAACAGGGAAUGGAGGUUGUUCCUGUCCCAACAUGAAUUGCCAGAAAGAUCAGCAAUAUUUUUUUUGAGCUUGGUUUAUGUGGCCAGCUUAGCCUGACAGCAUCUGUUAAAAAGUGCCCAGAGACCCAUUUUGUGCCUGCUUUUACUAAUACAGCCAAAAGAAAAAUUGCAAACGUCAUGAAAUGCUUUUUAAUUACGCCUUUGCUGCCCAGUAAAAGACUUGAUUUAAAAAGUGUCCUAAAAAGGGUAGUGUAAUUUUAAUUUACUCAGAAAUGCACUGACCUAGCAUUCUGACUUGCUCUGAAGGACAGAGCCAGAAAAGCAGAAAAUGCAGUUUCAGCAUUUAAAAACACUAGAGCAGCAGACAACUGUCAAUGUUGCCACAUAAGGUGUUAUAGCUGAAACCCCUUAUGUGCCGUACAGGAACUUAACACUGUGCGGGAUUGUGGCAUGUUUCGAUGUACUGAAUUUGCCUGAUAACGAAUCUGGAAGUCAAUGGGUUUUCCUCUGGCCUACCUGCAGUACUGUGAGCUUUGUAGGGCUGCCAGGCUCGCAGAAUCCCUUUGGGCAGGAGGGAAUUAGUCUCUGGGGGUCCUGCUGCCUGUCCUGUUCCCUCUUGGAAAUCCAGCUGGCUCCUUAUUGAGCUACAUGGAGGCAGAUUUUCACGUGAAAUUACAUCCUGGGAUUGUAAUUUCUGCCAUAAAGAGGUGGCAGUUGGAUGUGGCUAAGUCUACAGUGGAAUGUGCAGUCAUUGUUUGAUAUGAAUAUAAUAUUUCAGUUUGAA